rnacentral:rRNA from 1 species
GACGAACGCUGGCGGCGUGCUUAACACAUGCAAGUCGUACGGUAAGGCCCUUUCGGGGGUGCACGAGUGGCGAACGGGUGAGUAACACGUGAGUAACCUGCCCACAACUUUGGGAUAACGCUAGGAAACUGGUGCUAAUACUGGAUAUGUGCUCCUGCUGCAUGGUGGGGGUUGGAAAGCUCCGGCGGUUGUGGAUGGACUCGCGGCCUAUCAGCUUGUUGGUGGGGUAGUGGCCUACCAAGGCGGCGACGGGUAGCCGGCCUGAGAGGGUGACCGGCCACAUUGGGACUGAGAUACGGCCCAGACUCCUACGGGAGGCAGCAGGGGGGAAUAUUGCACAAUGGGCGCAAGCCUGAUGCAGCAACGCCGCGUGCGGGAUGACGGCCUUCGGGUUGUAAACCGCUUUCAGCAGGGACGAAGCUUUUUGUGACGGUACCUGCAGAAGAAGCACCGGCUAACUACGUG